CCGGAGGAAGGUGGGGAUGACGUCAAGUCAUCAUGGCCUUUAUGUCCAGGGCUACACACGUGCUACAAUGGCCGGUACAGAGCGUCGCGAACCCGCGAGGGGGAGCCAAUCGCACAAAGCCGGCCUCAGUUCGGAUUGCAGUCUGCAACUCGACUGCAUGAAGCUGGAAUCGCUAGUAAUCGCGUGUCAGAACGAUGCGGUGAAUACGUUCCCGGGCCUUGUACACACCGCCCGUCACAUCACGAAAGUGGGUUGUACUAGAAGUCGCGAUCCCAACCGCAAGGAGGGUAGCGCCCAAGGUGUGACUCAUGAUUGGGGUGAAGUCGUAACAAGGUAGCCG
rnacentral:rRNA from 1 species